GCCUGGCUAGCUCAGUCAGUAGAGCAUGUGGCUGUUGAUCUCAUGGUUAUGAGUUCAAGGCCCAUGUUGGGUG
rnacentral:tRNA from 1 species